rnacentral:rRNA from 1 species
AGUGAACGCUGGCGGUAGGCCUAACACAUGCAAGUCGAACGGCAGCACAGUAAGAGCUUGCUCUUACGGGUGGCGAGUGGCGGAUGGGUGAGGAAUACGUCGGAAUCUACUUUUUCGUGGGGGAUAACGUAGGGAAACUUACGCUAAUACCGCAUACGACCUACGGGUGAAAGCAGGGGAUCUUCGGACCUUGCGCGAUUGAAUGAGCCGAUGUCGGAUUAGCUAGUUGGCGGGGUAAAGGCCCACCAAGGCGACGAUCCGUAGCUGGUCUGAGAGGAUGAUCAGCCACACUGGAACUGAGACACGGUCCAGACUCCUACGGGAGGCAGCAGUGGGGAAUAUUGGACAAUGGGCGCAAGCCUGAUCCAGCCAUACCGCGUGGGUGAAGAAGGCCUUCGGGUUGUAAAGCCCUUUUGUUGGGAAAGAAAAGCAGCAGGUUAAUACCCCGCUGUGCUGACGGUACCCGAAGAAUAAGCACCGGCUAACUUCGUG